CUUCAGUAACAGGAAUGAGUGCCAGUAACAGGAGUGAGCUCCAGUAACAGGAGUGAGCUCCAGUAACAGGAAUGAGUGCCAGUAACAGGAGUGAGCUCCAGUAACAGGAAUGAGUGCCAGUAACAGGAGUGAGCUCCAGUAACAGGAAUGAGUGCCAGUAACAGGAGUGAGCUCCAGUAACAGGAAUGAGUGCCAG